UUUAUGGAGAGUUUGAUCCUGGCUCAGGAUGAACGCUGGCGGCGUGCCUAAUACAUGCAAGUCGAGCGAACGGACGAGAAGCUUGCUUCUCUGAUGUUAGCGGCGGACGGGUGAGUAACACGUGGAUAACCUACCUAUAAGACUGGGAUAACUUCGGGAAACCGGAGCUAAUACCGGAUGAUAUUUUGAACCGCAUGGUUCAAAAGUGAAAGACGGUCUUGCUGUCACUUAUAGAUGGAUCCGCGCUGCAUUAGCUAGUUGGUAAGGUAACGGCUUACCAAGGCAACGAUGCAUAGCCGACCUGAGAGGGUGAUCGGCCACACUGGAACUGAGACACGGUCCAGACUCCUACGGGAGGCAGCAGUAGGGAAUCUUCCGCAAUGGGCGAAAGCCUGACGGAGCAACGCCGCGUGAGUGAUGAAGGUCUUCGGAUCGUAAAACUCUGUUAUUAGGGAAGAACAUAUGUGUAAGUAACUGUGCACAUCUUGACGGUACCUAAUCAGAAAGCCACGGCUAACUACGUGCCAGCAGCCGCGGUAAUACGUAGGUGGCAAGCGUUAUCCGGAAUUAUUGGGCGUAAAGCGCGCGUAGGCGGUUUUUUAAGUCUGAUGUGAAAGCCCACGGCUCAACCGUGGAGGGUCAUUGGAAACUGGAAAACUUGAGUGCAGAAGAGGAAAGUGGAAUUCCAUGUGUAGCGGUGAAAUGCGCAGAGAUAUGGAGGAACACCAGUGGCGAAGGCGACUUUCUGGUCUGUAACUGACGCUGAUGUGCGAAAGCGUGGGGAUCAAACAGGAUUAGAUACCCUGGUAGUCCACGCCGUAAACGAUGAGUGCUAAGUGUUAGGGGGUUUCCGCCCCUUAGUGCUGCAGCUAACGCAUUAAGCACUCCGCCUGGGGAGUACGACCGCAAGGUUGAAACUCAAAGGAAUUGACGGGGACCCGCACAAGCGGUGGAGCAUGUGGUUUAAUUCGAAGCAACGCGAAGAACCUUACCAAAUCUUGACAUCCUUUGACAACUCUAGAGAUAGAGCCUUCCCCUUCGGGGGACAAAGUGACAGGUGGUGCAUGGUUGUCGUCAGCUCGUGUCGUGAGAUGUUGGGUUAAGUCCCGCAACGAGCGCAACCCUUAAGCUUAGUUGCCAUCAUUAAGUUGGGCACUCUAAGUUGACUGCCAGUGACAAACCGGAGGAAGGUGGGGAUGACGUCAAAUCAUCAUGCCCCUUAUGAUUUGGGCUACACACGUGCUACAAUGGACAAUACAAAGGGCAGCGAAACCGCGAGGUCAAGCAAAUCCCAUAAAGUUGUUCUCAGUUCGGAUUGUAGUCUGCAACUCGACUACAUGAAGCUGGAAUCGCUAGUAAUCGUAGAUCAGCAUGCUACGGUGAAUACGUUCCCGGGUCUUGUACACACCGCCCGUCACACCACGAGAGUUUGUAACACCCGAAGCCGGUGGAGUAACCUUUUAGGAGCUAGCCGUCGAAGGUGGGACAAAUGAUUGGGGUGAAGUCGUAACAAGGUAGCCGUAUCGGAAGGUGCGGCUGGAUCACCUCCUUUCU
rnacentral:rRNA from 1 species